CUCAGUUUUUAUACUCAUGUAAUUCAUGGUUCUAUAUUUCUUUUGUUUACUCUGUAUGUGCACGUUUUUUUUAUUUUUUACACCGCGCGGGUAUCAUUUGUAACCGUAAGUUAAAACAGAAUUAAGGAAUGAAGAAAGGGCAUGCAAAACCACAUUUUUAUAUCAUGUGUGUUUGGAUUUUUUUUGUUGUUUUUUUUUUUUUGGGGGGGGGGGAGGUCAUUUGAGUUUUCAAUUAAAUUUUAUUUUAUACAUGUAUACGGUAACCAUGUAUACAUGUAGGGCAUACCCUAAUUUUUUUCACUUACAGGGACAAAAUCAAAAAAUUUUAAGAUCUACCCAGAGGUAGAUUUCUUUCAUAGAGAGGGAUGGACAUGGACCUCCAUUUGUUGAAACAAUAAGUUGAUUGUUUAUGGAAUCACUGUUACGGCAGUCAGAAGUCCCCACUGCUACACCCUGUGGAAUUUGAAGUCAGUUAUAUAAGAUUCAUAUAAGGUAUUAAUGAUACCUUACUCGUAUCAAAUUAAUUUUUUUAUAUUUCCAUAUAUAUUCAAUGAGCCUAUAUAGCGGUUUCGAAAAUAUUGCAAAGUACGUUAAGAUGUUGAGAAUAUCCUUACUGUAAUAAUUUGUUUUAGUAAAGAUUGUAGGACUUUUGAAAAAUGCCCUAGUUUGUAUAUGGAUUCCUGGAGAAAAAAAAAUCCACCCUCCCCCUUUUUUUGUUGUAAAAAGGAAGUGAUAAAAAUGUCAAUUUCACAUCACAAUAGAUAUUUUUCAAACCAUAAUGUAAGCAAGGGGUCUGGAAAGGGAGAUGUCAGCGCACAAUAUGCUGAACUAUUAGUAAACAUUUUAUUGAAAAAAAAUGUUCUGUAAAAUGGUUUGCUUACAAUGCGACCCUUAGUCUUGUGCUACGCCACUGUCAAAACCUUGAUCAUGUUUUGUUAGAGUUUUAAACUUAUUGUUGUAUCCAUAAAAUAUUACACCCAUUAAAAGAUGAUUAAAGAUUAAGUAGAGGAAAGUCGGAUUACCGAAAUAUUUUUCCUCCAAUGCUCAUCCGUCAAAACAUAUAUCAACCUUAAAAACCGUUGUCUUAUAUAUGCGCCAAUUGUUCAUCAUUAUACUAUGUUACGUUCUAUUGAAUUGUUUUACAUACCUGUAUCAAUUUAACCCCAGCUCUUUGGAAUAAAAGCAUGCAUUGAUCAAUAAAUUUAAAUAAUCAUAACAAACUUUUACAUGGAUCAUGCAUGUGAUGAGCUAGUAUAUAUC
rnacentral:lncRNA from 1 species